rnacentral:rRNA from 2 species
CGGGGCGACUCCAAUUCUCUGCACACCAGUGGGGGGAUGAAUCCCAUGGGGGAGGGCGGGAACCUGAGCAGGAAUGCACCGCGGGGAGCUAGAAAAAGACGGGCUGGGCAAGAUGCAUAGACUAGCCGCGGUAAUAACGCCCGCAAGAUUGCAGGACGAUUAUAUUGUAAACAAGCGUAUAUUAAGAGACCACCAACCCAUGAGAGGAAACUCCUAAAAAAGUGUGGGCGCCUGGGGGCCAAUGUCCGGGGCGGGGCGAAGGCACUGGGGGGUGUCCGGGGGGUGAAAAGAUUUAAAAUCGUAAAGGGAGCACCUGUGGCGAAGGCAUCCCACCAUAACGGGUUUGACGGUGAGGGGGGAAAGCCAGGGGAGCGAACCGGAUUAGAUACCCGAGUAGUCCUCGCCGUAAACGUGUUUUUAGGUGUGGGGGCUCCCAUGCGCGC